GUGCUUAACACAUGCAAGUCGAACGGAAAGGCCCUUCGGGGUACUCGAGUGGCGAACGGGUGAGUAACACGUGGGUGAUCUGCCCUGCACUUUGGGAUAAGCCUGGGAAACUGGGUCUAAUACCGAAUACACCCUGCUGGUCGCAUGGCCUGGUGGGGGAAAGCUUUUGCGGUGUGGGAUGGGCCCGCGGCCUAUCAGCUUGUUGGUGGGGUGAUGGCCUACCAAGGCGACGACGGGUAGCCGGCCUGAGAGGGUGUCCGGCCACACUGGGACUGAGAUACGGCCCAGACUCCUACGGGAGGCAGCAGUGGGGAAUAUUGCACAAUGGGCGCAAGCCUGAUGCAGCGACGCCGCGUGAGGGACGACGGCCUUCGGGUUGUAAACCUCUUUCAGCACAGACGAAGCGCAAGUGACGGUAUGUGCAGAAGAAGCACCGGCCAACUACGUGCCAGCAGCCGCGGUAAUACGUAGGGUGCGAGCGUUGUCCGGAAUUACUGGGCGUUAAGAGCUCGUAGUGGUUUGUCGCGUUGUUCGUGAAAUC
rnacentral:rRNA from 1 species